UACGUAGGGUGCGAGCGUUGUCCGGAAUUAUUGGGCGUAAAGAGCUUGUAGGCGGUUUGUCGCGUCUGCUGUGAAAAUCCGGGGCUCAACCCCGGACUUGCAGUGGGUACGGGCAGACUAGAGUGUGGUAGGGGAGACUGGAAGUUCCUGGUGUAGCGGUGAAAUGCGCAGAUAUCAGGAGGAACACCGAUGGCGAAGGCAGGUCUCUGGGCCGAUACUGACACUGAGGAGCGAAAGCGUGGGGAGCGAACAGGA
rnacentral:rRNA from 1 species